rnacentral:rRNA from 1 species
CCUACGGGUGGCUGCAGUGGGGAAUAUUGCGCAAUGGGGGAAACCCUGACGCAGCAACGCCGCGUGAGUGACGAAGGCCUUCGGGUCGUAAAGCUCUGUCGGAGGGGAAGAAACUAUCUAUGGCUAACAUCCAUAGGUAUUGACGGUACCCUCAAAGGAAGCACCGGCUAACUCCGUGCCAGCAGCCGCGGUAAUACGGAGGGUGCAAGCGUGGUUCGGAAUUAUUUGGCGUAAAGCGCGUGUAGGCGGUGAAAGCCCUCGGCCUAACCGAGGAAGUGCGCCUGAAACUGAUUGGCUUGAGUACGAGAGAGGAGGACGGAAUUCCCAGUGUAGAGGUGAAAUUCGUAGAUAUUGGGAGGAACACCGGUGGCGAAAGCGGUUCUCUGGAUCGAUACUGACGCUAAAGCACGAAAGUGUGGGGAGCAAACAGGAUUAGAUACCCCAGUAGUC